UGAGUAACCUGCCCUUGACUCUGGGAUAAGCCUGGGAAACCGGGUCUAAUACCGGAUAUGACUGCCGGCCGCAUGGCCUGGUGGUGAAAGCUUUAUUGCGGUUUUGGAUGGACUCGCGGCCUAUCAGCUUGUUGGCGGGGUAAUGGCCCACCAAGGCGACGACGGGUAGCCGGCCUGAGAGGGUGACCGGCCACACUGGGACUGAGACACGGCCCAGACCUCCGUACGGGAGGCAG
rnacentral:rRNA from 1 species